GCAGGUUGAAGCGCGGGUAAGACCGCGUGGAGGACCGAACCCACCUGGGUUGAAAACCGGGGGGAUGACCUGGGGCUAGGGGUGAAAGGCCAAUCAAAUUCCGUGAUAGCUGGUUCUCUCCGAAAUGCAUUUAGGUGCAGCGUCGGUUGAUUGCAUCGCGGGGGUAGAGCUACUGGAUGCUUGCGGGCCCGUGUCGGGUACCAAUAGCAGCCAAACUCCGAAUACCGUGGAUGUGUAUUCCGGCAGUGAGUCGGCGGGGGAUAAGCUCCGUCGUCGAGAGGGAGACAGCCCAGAUCGUCGUCUAAGGUCCCGAAGCGUGUGCUAAGUGGGAAAGGAUGUGGAGUCGCAUAGACAGCCAGGAGGUUGGCUCAGAAGCAGCCAUCCUUGAAAGAGUGCGUAACAGCUCACUGGUCUAGUGGUUCCGCGCCGACAAUGUAGCGGGGCUCAAGCACACCACCGAAGACGCGGCAGUAUUUUGUACUGGGUAGGAGAGCGUCCCAUGAGGGGCGAAGCGGCCGUGUGAACGCGCCGUGGACUUCAUGGGAGUGAGAAUGCAGACAUGAGUAGCGAGAGACGGGUGAAGAUCCCGUCCGCUGGAUGACCAAGGGUUCCAGGGCCACGUUCAUCGUCCCUGGGUGAGUCGGGUCCUAAGGCGAGGCCGACAGGCGUAGUCGAAUGGAUGAACGGGUGGAUAUUCCCGUACCGGCGGCGUACCGUAAGAGCCGAACGGAUGAGUACUAACCUCCGGUCGCGUGGCGUCGUUCCCUUCGGGGUUCGGGGCGCGUGGCUGUUGGGAGCGUAGUCCUGGUAGGCUAGCGCACAGGGGUGACACGGAAUGGGAGCCGGCCGCGGAGGUGGUUUUCCGUGGUCAAGCACGCAGCCCGUCCCAUAGGCAAAUCCGUGGGACGCAUAGGGUGAGGUGUGAUGAUGGGCGUCCUUUGGACGCGAUAUCCGGUGGUCCAGGCCGUCGAGAAAAGCCUCGGCGCGAGGGGCGUCGCCGCCCGUACCCCAAACCGACACUGGUGGUCAGGUAGAGAAUACCAAGGCGAUCGAGCGAAUCCUGGUCAAGGAACUCGGCAAAUCACUCCCGUGCCUUCGGUAUAAGGGAGACCCCCGGGCGUGAAGAGGCUUGCCCUCGGAGCGUUGGGGGGUGGCACAGACCAGGGGGUAGCGACUGUUUACCAAAAACACAGGUGCAUGCGAAGGCGCAAGCCGCUGUAUAUGCACUGACGCCUGCCCGGUGCCGGAAGGUUAAGAGGAUCCGUCAGCCCCUUUUGGGGUGAAGCGGUGAAUUCAAGCCCCGGUAAACGGCGGUGGUAACUAUAACCAUCCUAAGGUAGCGAAAUUCCUUGUCGGGUAAGUUCCGACCUGCACGAAUGGCGUAA
rnacentral:rRNA from 1 species